UGAGAUGCCAGAAAGCUCAGAGGCAGAAAGAAGAAGUCCCAUGACUUCUUUCAGCUACUUCACUGAUCCCCUGCUCCUCAUUCCUGAGAGGGCUUUUCUUAAGUCUGUUCCUUCUGUUGCAAAACUAUUGCCACAGUGACCUUGUGUGUGAAGACCCAGCAUCUGGGGUGCAUCUCCACUAAGUAAAGACAUCAUGAAGCUUCAGCUGGCCUACCAGGAAGUGAAAGACCCUAAGCAUGGCCCUCAAGAAAUAAAAAGAAAAUACGUGCA
rnacentral:lncRNA from 1 species